rnacentral:misc_RNA from 1 species
AACACCUCAAAACUCUUGGUUUUUUCCAUGAGUUUUGGACUUGAGCAAACCCAACGCCUUCUCUCACGAUUUGGCGGCGGGUUGCUUGAAAUGCAGGUGCAGCUGGACAUUCUCCUGAGCUAAAAGCAUAUUUAUUUAGUCCCGUCAAACGGAUUAUUACUUUUGCUGCAGCUAACAUAAAGGGAGUUUUGACCGUAUUGGCUGACUGAUGCAGGAUUUCACAGAGUCGGAAACGAUUCUGUCAA